GACGAACGCUGGCGGCGUGCUUAACACAUGCAAGUCAAGGGGGCCCGCAAGGGCAACCGGCGAACGGGUGCGUAACACGUGAGCAAUCUGCCUAGAUGUGGGGGAUAGCCGGCCCAACGGCCGGGUAAUACCGCAUACGCUCUCCGGGUGGCAUCACCUGGUGAGGAAACUUUCGAGGCAUCUAGAGGAGCUCGCGGCCUAUCAGCUAGUUGGUGGGGUAAUGGCCUACCAAGGCAUUGACGGGUAGCUGGUCUGAGAGGAUGGCCAGCCACAUUGGGACUGAGAUACGGCCCAGACUCCUACGGGAGGCAGCAGUGGGGAAUAUUGCGCAAUGGCCGAAAGGCUGACGCAGCGACGCCGCGUGGGGGAUGAAGCAUUUCGGUGUGUAACCCCUGUUGCUCGGGACGAACAACUGGAUUCUUCCAGUCUGACGGUACCGGGUGAGGAAGCACCGGCUAACUCCGUGCCAGCAG
rnacentral:rRNA from 1 species